UGGUGCGAUCAUACCAGCACUAAUGAACCGGAUCCCAUCAGAACUCCGCAGCUAAGCGUGCUUGGGCGAGAGUAGUACUAGGAUGGGUGACCUCCUAGGAAGUCCUCGUGUUGCACCUC
rnacentral:rRNA from 2 species